UGGCGUUGCUGAUUUCGCCAGGUCUUCUCCUCUCCGAAAAUUUGAGGCUGUCGGCUGGCUGCGGCUGUGUGGGACUGGAGGUCGUCUACGCUGUUGUUCGCUCUCUCCAGCAGCGUUAACUGCGGCCUGCUGCUCUCCCUCUCCUCCCCGGCGGAGACGCUGUGCCUGUGCUCUGUGCUCUGUGGCACGUUUUGGCCUGGCUGUGCGCUGCGGUGCUCCACUCUCCGGCGGUCAACGCUCUGGUGCACCGGGACUCUACUGCUGUCUUGUUUGGGCUGUCUUGUUUGGGCUUGUCUUGUAUUGCUGUGUAUGCUGCCUUGUCAAUUAGUUCAUCUAUUGUCUUGUAUGCCGCAUGUUUUGCACAGCCGCAUUUAUAUUGUUGGCUCCCACUGUGGCCGCAAUUACGCCACUGUUUGUUUUACCCUGUUUGUUAUCGCCAGUGACUACUAUAAGUGCCGUGCUGUGAUUGGCUGAUCUCCCGCACCAUUGUACGCGGGGACGAACUGCAAUUGGCCCACUUUUGGGUCAGUCCCAGUAAACCCUGAUUUAUUUUAUUUAUUUAC